CAUAUGUUUUGAUUUCUGCAAUGAUGUUCCAAUGUUUACAAUCAAAAACUGACAUGUAGGAAAACACACUUGUAAAUGUUUCAGGGUGUGUGCAGUGCACACCUGAAAGUUGGCAAGGUGAUGGAGAAAGUGGUUGAACUGACUGAAGCUGUGGAGAACAGAUUGGCUGCAGGAGCAGUAACAUCAGCGACUCUGCAGCAGAUUCCUACAACCCAUCUCGUGAGGUAAAAAGGAUCCACAGGAGUCUGGAGGAUGGGCACAAAUACAGAGGAAAUGAGAGGUUCACGUCUGAGCACAACUCCGGUGGCACAAAUUCAAUGUUGUGGACAAUUGCAGAUGAAGAGGAAUGUGACACCUCUUUGAUCAGAAGAGCAACAGAUACUUUGAGAACAUCAGGAGGGAAUCUAAGUUGUCAGAAGACAAAGUGGAAGAGGAUCAGAGGGCCAAAGCUCUCAACAACCGAAGACAUAGACUUUUCAAUUCACGCCGAUCUGCUGCUCGCUCAUCUUAACCAAUAAGGAGUACAGAUACCUGGAACGGGCGCCUGCAUGCAUGAUGAGCGACGAGGAGACGGACACUGAAGACAAAGACGUGUGGAAAGCAUGUCCACCUGAAUGGAGGGCAACAAGACUCACGGACAUGUUAGAAAGGUGUCAGCACCACCUCGUUGACCUACAAAAGAUGUCCUCCAGGAUGGUGCACCGGAGAGCGCCCAGUGGUGUAUAGAGCCAGAGGCAGCCGCUGAGAGGAAUCAGAUUCAUUUAUUUGAAAUAAAACUGUGUGCUUUAAUUAAGAAAAAAAGAAAAACAUUGGUCUGUUUUUCAUGUCUGACAUGUUUUCAUUCAGCUAUGCAGUUUUGUAGAUGCACCUGAUUUAUUAGACUGCUUCAUUCUAUUCUGUUCCCACUGUUCAGUUAAUAAUGCUGAUAUUCUUUAUACAGUUUAAUCUGACAAUGUAAUUUUAUAAA